GGAAGAGGUAUAUGGUGAAGGAGGACAGUUAGCGGACGAUCUAACACAAUGAAUCGGUAGUUUGGACUACGAUCGAUAUGCUAAAGAGUGACUAAUUUAAAAUCAUCAAGCUAUUAAUGACAUCAACCCAAAUCAGGAACAGAUAAAGGUUAGCGUUUUCCUACGUUUGUAUAGGGCUGUGCAGGUUGGAGCCUCCGUUCGGCUGGAACCCAGUGGAAGGCCGGAAACGUCCUCACGAUGCACCCAGGCUUUCUCUUCCCGAAGCGUCGUGUGGUCGCUAGGCAACGAGUUAUGCCGUUGGAGCUCUCGGCGCAGUAUCGAGCGUCUGCCAGCAGACGUCUGAAGUAAGGCAGUCGGUGAUGAGUCAAGCCGCCCGGGUUCAGUGCGCUGUCUUGUAUGGGGCAAAUUACACACAGAAAAUUAUUGCAGCCAGAAUGAGAUUUUAUUUUAAACAAGGGACGGGAAAACAGCAGCGUUCCAAGGGGGAACUGUUGACAUCGGCACUGUUGCACCUGGGUCACUUUAGGGGGAGGGAAACCGCGGCACCCCAGAUGUAACCUGGAGGCCGGAAUGUGUCAAGUGUCUUCAUUGCUGCGCAUUAUCUCCUGUACUUUACAGGUGGAGAUGUGUGGAUACGUAAGAACACUGGAGAGAGGACAAGAGAAAUUCUCAACACAUGGCAACUCAUAUAAGACGUAACAUCUGUGAAUGAUACAGUAUUCUGAGCACAACAUGCUGUUAAAGCUUCUAUGGAAAAAACAACUCCCAAACGGCUGUGAAAUCAGCUCUGCUGAGCAAGAGGAAGAAGAGGAAUGGGUUGCGUGGCAGGGCCAAACAGGAGGCUGUCGGAGACACUGUGUGUUCAAACUGUCCAACUGACAGGAUGUCCAGGGGGAACACAUGUAAAUAGUCUGCCCAUGUAAAAUAAUCUAGAACAAAUAUUGCAAAUGAAGGUGGAACUGGAUCCGUCAGCUUAUGCGUCUGCGCUGAAUGAAAGGCUCUCAGUAAAACCUUGACAGCAGCUCUGUAAUCCAUCAGCAGACUUCAAAGCUAGUCUUUUAGUUCGAAAAACCUUCUCCUUUUACCCUUUCCUCUUACUGGGCAGGAGCUCCAAACCUGACCUUUCAAAAAAGUGAAUUAAAAACAACCUUGAGCAGGCAGACAGAGGCCAAAACAGGAGCUCGGUAACACUUUUGCAUGUCUCGGUUUCCCCAGCUCCCUCAUUUGCAUCUGCAAAUCCUGGUGGAUUUGGUGCCACUUUUGACAAGAUCCGAAAAAAACCCACAUGAGACAAAAGAUAAAAGCAGUCAGAAGAGGAAGUGAUAAACAUGUAUAAUGCUGUGUAAGAAGCAGCGCAGACAAAUAUGGGGAUUUGUGUCAUCAUUUGGUUAUAAAUCCCUCUCCACACAGUGACAACAGCCCAACUGUUAAUGGAAUAAAACACUUAUAAAGAGCUGAAGCAGUAGUUAUGUAAUUCAUGAUCUAACUUCAGAAGGGGUUGUUUGAUGUGACACUAACUCUCUCCCUUGCUGAGUAAAUGUUACAAGCCUAACCUUCUUGUGAUGUCAAAGGAAACCAUUGGGGGAAAACUAAAUUCCUAGAAGAGCUGUUGCACAUCAAAUCCUUCAAGAGUAAACUAUCCAACAUGGGUUAUUUGUCCAUGGAAGCAUAAAAUUGUGUCAUUCAUCCUGUAAUAGAGAGAUGAAUUCCUGAUGCCACUGAAGGGCUUGUAGCCAUUUGAUGAGCUUCUGAAGCUGAAUAGAAUUUGUCAUUGUCUUUAUUUUUUCCUUUUCUGAGGAAAUGAAUCAUGUUAUUGGGAUUCUAGGAUAAACAAGUAUAAAUUACAUCAAUUUUCGUUUAGUGAUUUAUUAUGUGAACCCUCCAAUACAAUAAAAACAAUAUAUAUAUUUAAUGGGACAUUGUCACUACAUCCCGGGCUGUGACUGCUUUUUUUUAAAAAAAAUACAAGUCAGAGCUUUUUUUUCUCCUAUAGCAGAAUGACGAGAUGCAACCAGACCAUUCA
ensembl:lncRNA